rnacentral:snoRNA from 2 species
GAUGUGUGAUGACAAAAUGUUUCGGUCCCAAAUGACAUUCCAUGAUUUGACUGUUGCAUUUUUCCUGACAUC